rnacentral:rRNA from 1 species
AGUCGAGGGGUAUAGUUCUUCGGAGCUAGAGACCGGCGCACGGGUGCGUAACGCGUAUGCAAUCUACCUUUUACAGAGGGAUAGCCCAGAGAAAUUUGGAUUAAUACCUCAUAGUAUUGGAACAUGGCAUCAUUAUUAUAUUAAAGUCACAACGGUAAAAGAUGAGCAUGCGUCCCAUUAGCUAGUUGGUAAGGUAACGGCUUACCAAGGCUACGAUGGGUAGGGGUCCUGAGAGGGAGAUCCCCCACACUGGUACUGAGACACGGACCAGACUCCUACGGGAGGCAGCAGUGAGGAAUAUUGGACAAUGGGCGCAAGCCUGAUCCAGCCAUGCCGCGUGCAGGAUGACGGUCCUAUGGAUUGUAAACUGCUUUUAUACGAGAAGAAACACUCCAACGUGUUGGAGCUUGACGGUAUCGUAAGAAUAAGGAUCGGCUAACUCCGUGCCAGCAGCCGCGGUAAUACGGAGGAUCCAAGCGUUAUCCGGAAUCAUUGGGUUUAAAGGGUCCGUAGGCGGUUUAAUAAGUCAGUGGUGAAAGCCCAUCGCUCAACGGUGGAACGGCCAUUGAUACUGUUAAACUUGAAUUAUUAGGAAGUAACUAGAAUAUGUAGUGUAGCGGUGAAAUGCUUAGAGAUUACAUGGAAUACCAAUUGCGAAGGCAGGUUACUACUAAUGGAUUGACGCUGAUGGACGAAAGCGUGUGUAGCGAACAGGAUUAGAUACCCUGGUAGUCCACGCCGUAAACGAUGGAUACUAGCUGUUGGAAGCAAUUUCAGUGGCUAAGCGAAAGUGAUAAGUAUCCCACCUGGGGAGUACGUUCGCAAGAAUGAA